rnacentral:rRNA from 1 species
UCGGUUGAUCCUGCCGGACCCCACUGCUAUCGGGAUGGGACUAAGACAUGCUAGUCGUGCGCCUCCAAGCCACGGUGGAGGCGCGGCGCACAGCUCAGUAACACGUGGCUAACCUACCCUUGGGACGGAAACAACCCCGGGAAACUGGGGCUAAUUUCCGAUAGGUGAAGACUCCUGGAAUGGGUCUUCGCCCAAAGGGCGCCUGGACCAUGCUUCUAAGCGCUGCCCAAGGAUGGGGCCGCGGCCGAUCAGGUAGUUGGUGAGGUAACGGCUCACCAAGCCUAUAACCGGUUCGGGCCGUGAGAGCGGGAGCCCGGAGAUGGGCACUGAGACAAGGGCCCAGGCCCUACGGGGCGCAGCAGUCGCGAAAACUCCGCAAUACGCGAAAGCGUGACGGGGCCAUCCCGAGUGCCGUCCGCUGAGGAUGGCUUUUCUCCAGUGUAGAUAGCUGGGGGAAUAAGGAGAGGGCAAGUCUGGUGUCAGCCGCCGCGGUAAUACCAGCUCUCCGAGUGGUGGGGAUGUCUAUUGGGCUUAAAGCGUCCGUAGCCGGCCCGGCAAGUCUUCCGUUAAAUCCAGCGACCUAAUCGUUGGACUGCGGAAGAUACUGCUGGGCUAGGGGGCGGGAGAGGUCAACGGUAUUCCCGGGGUAGGGGUGAAAUCCUAUAAUCCCGGGAGGACCACCAGUGGCGAAAGCUGUUGACUAGAACGCGCUCGACGGUGAGGGACGAAAGCUGGGGGAGCGAACCGGAUUAGAUACCCGGGUAGUCCCAGCCGUAAACGAUGC